AAGCUUGGCUGUGACACUACUCUCCAUCUGAGGUGUCUUCUGUUCUGUUCCAGUGCUGUCAACCCUGAGAACUCGGUGCAUGCUGUGACUCCCUGCUUACUACCAAGCAGCCACUUGCAGCAGCUUCCCAAGGUCAGGAGAUGGAGAGGGUCCGCUGAGGCCUUGUCUCAGAAGUCAGAGCUGGCCUUCAGCUUUGGGAAGCUGAUAUCAGGCCUGAAAGUGAGAGUUACCACUCCGUGGAAACACAGAGGAUAUAAAUAUGCCUAAGUAUUUGCUCCACCUACAAUCAAGCCAACCUCAGGCUAAUCUAGGAAGCAGGAAGUACAGAAUUUAAAGACUGUCAGGAAACAACAAUUGGGAGAAAAGAUGAAACGUCUGCAGAUGAGGUAAUUCAGGGAUAAUUUGUAGCUCUGACCAGGGUUAAAAUGGGUCACAAUUACAACAUUAGCAGUUUAGUGAAGGGGAGUUCACUAUGGGCUAUAGUAUGGAAGUAUAGACAGGCAAUGCCAAAGAAUGCUCAAACCACCGCACAACUGCACUCA
rnacentral:lncRNA from 1 species